AUUUCUAAAUCGCUGAGACCUAAAGGUGCGGGGGAACCAUUUUUGUGGAUUGUUACACAAUCCAAAGGGGUGAAUCCUUUUAAAAGGUAGGGCUACUCAAAUGGUCCGAAUCCGACAGCUAACCUCGUAAGCGUUAUAUGAGAAGGAAG
rnacentral:sRNA from 1 species